GUCCUAAAGGGUUGUUCGAGACUAGAACGUUGAUAGGCAGGGUGUGUAAGCGUUGUGAGGCGUUGAGCUAACCUGUACUAAUUGCCCGUGAGGCUUAACCAUACAACACCCAAAGGGUUUUG
rnacentral:rRNA from 1 species